rnacentral:tRNA from 1 species
UCUCUGAUAGCUCAAUUGGUAAAGCAUCUGCCUGCAAUGCAGGACACCCGGUUCGAUUCCUGGGUCAGGAA